rnacentral:rRNA from 1 species
CCUACGGGAGGCACCAGUGGGGAAUAUUGCACAAUGGGCGCAAGCCUGAUGCAGCCAUGCCGCGUGUAUGAAGAAGGCCUUCGGGUUGUAAGUACUUUCAGCGAGGAGGAAGGCGUUAAGGUUAACAACCUUAGCGAUUGACGUUACUCGCAGAAGAAGCACCGGCUAACUCCGUGCCAGCAGCCGCGGUGAUACGGAGGGUGCAAGCGUUAAUCGGAAUUACUGGGCGUAAAGCGCACGCAGGCGGUUUGUUAAGUCGGAUGUGAAAUCCCCGGGCUCAACCUGGGAACUGCAUUCGAAACUGGCAAGCUUGAGUCUUGUGGAGGGGGGUAGAAUUCCAGGUGUAGCGGUGAAAUGCGUAGAGAUCUGGAGGAAUACCGGUGGCGAAGGCGGCCCCCUGGACAAAGACUGACGCUCAGGUGCGAAAGCGUGGGGAGCAAACAGGAUUAGAUACCCCAGUAGUC